UUGUGUCCUACUGGGAUUGGUCAGU
rnacentral:misc_RNA from 1 species